AGAGGAAGAAGAAAAGAAAGAAAGAAAGAGUAGCAGUUGGCAAACUUAUUUUCAUCGUGGUGAAGGCAGCAGUUCACAAACAUGUCCAGUCUUGUUACGUAAUAAAGCAGUAAAGGCAGCGGAUGCAUUUCCCAUCUGGAGUAAUAAACAAGCUUCUUCUGGAUCAGCCCAGCACCAUCACCCAGCAUAUCCUGUCUUCCUCCUGAACAAUAGCUGCUUUUGGGGCUAGAAUUGCUAUGUCCACUUUCAUUGCAGUGGUACUGCUGCCUGCAGCAUUAAUCACUGUGAACGCUGGAAACCAACCAACCAACCAACACCAACGCAGCAAGGACAAAAUGAAACCUAAGAACAGCA